CCUCGAUGGAAACCAGGUGAAUAUUCCUGGGCCCGUCAGAAGUGACAGCAGUGAGACGGUGUUUCUCCUUAUCGGAUUGGAGGGGCGCUUGGAUCUGCUCGGGAAAUAGCUCUGACAUAUGGACCGUACCCUAAACCGACACAGGCGGAUUGGACGAGUAUUCCAAGGCGCUUGAGGGAACCAUGCUGAAGGAACUAGGCAAAUUGCUCGCGUAACUUCGGGGUAAGCGAGACCUGCUCGUGCGCAAGCAUGGGUGGGUGGCACAGACCAGGGGGUGGCGACUGUUUAGUAAAAACACAGGGCUCUGCGAAAUCGAGAGAUGACGUAUAGGGUCUGACGCCUGCCCGGUGCUGGAAGGUCAAGGGGAGGAGUGCAAGCUCCGAACCGAAGCCCCAGUAAACGGCGGCCGUAACUAUAACGGUCCUAAGGUAGCGAAAUUCCUUGUCGGGUAAGUUCCGACCUGCACGAAUGGCGUAACGACCUCCCCACUGUCUCCAGCAUGGGCUCAGCGAAAUUGAAUUCCCCGUGAAGAUGCGGGGUACCCGCGGUCAGACGGGAAGACCCUAUGAACCUUUACUGCAGCUUCGCAGUGGCGCCAGGAAGGGACUGUGUAGGAUAGGUGGGAGGCUAUGAAACCUGGGCGCUAGCUUGGGCGGAGCCAACCUUGAAAUACCACCCUGUGCCUUUCUGGCGUCUAACCGAGUUCUGUCACCCAGAACCGGGACCCUGCGUGGUGGGCAGUUCGACUGGGGCGGUCGCCUCCCAAAUGGUAACGGAGGCGCGCGAUGGUGGGCUCAAGCCGGUCGGACAUCGGCUGUUGAGUGCAAAGGCACAAGCCCGCCUGACUGCGAGCGCGACAGCGCGAGCAGAGACGAAAGUCGGCCUUAGUGAUCCGGUGGUCCCGCGUGGAAGGGCCAUCGCUCAACGGAUAAAAGGUACUCUAGGGAUAACAGGCUGAUCUCCCCCAAGAGUCCACAUCGACGGGGAGGUAUGGCACCUCGAUGUCGGCUCAUCGCAUCCCGGGGCUGGAGCAGGUCCCAAGGGUUCGGCUGUUCGCCGAUUAAAGCGGUACGUGAGCUGGGUUUAGAACGUCGUGAGACAGUUCGGUCCCUAUCUGCCGUUGGUGUACGAGACUUGAGAGGAUCUGUCCCUAGUACGAGAGGACCGGGAUGGACGCACCUCUGGUGAACCGGUUGUCACGCCAGUGGCAUGGCCGGGUGGCCAAGUGCGGAAUGGAUAACCGCUGAAGGCAUCUAAGCGGGAAACCAGCCUCAAGACGAGGUCUCGCCGAGGGCCGUGGAAGACCACCACGUUGAUAGGCCGCAGGUGUACGACAGGUAACUGUCUCAGCUGAGCGGUCCUAAUCGCCCGAUAGCGCUCCCAA
rnacentral:rRNA from 1 species